AGUGAGCUUUUCCCAUCACUUGGCGUCCGGCGUCCGGCGUCGUCCGGCGUUAACUUUUACAAAAAUCUUCUCCUCUGAAACUACUGGGCCAAAUUUAACCAAACUUGGCCACAAUCAUCAUUGGGGUAUCUAGUUUAAAAAAUGUGUCCGGUGCCCCGCCCAACCAACCAAGAUAGCCGCCAUGGCUAAAAAUAGAACACAGGGGUAAAAUGCAGUUUUUGGCUUAUCACUCAAAAACCAAAGCAUUUAGAGCAAAUUUGACAGGG
rnacentral:lncRNA from 1 species